rnacentral:rRNA from 2 species
AUAUCAAUAAGCGGAGGAAAAGAAACUAACAAGGAUUCCCCUAGUAGCGGCGAGUGAAGCGGGAAGAGCUCAAAUUUGUAAUCUGGCGUCUUUCAGGCGUCCGAGUUGUAAUCUAUAGAAGUGUUUUCCGUGCUGGACCAUGUCUAAGUCCCUUGGAACAGGGUAUCAAAGAGGGUGACAAUCCCGUACUUGACAUGACCACCAGUGCUCUGUGAUACACUCUCUACGAGUCGAGUUGUUUGGGAAUGCAGCUCAAAAUGGGUGGUAAAUUCCAUCUAAAGCUAAAUAUUGGCGAGAGACCGAUAGCGAACAAGUACCGUGAGGGAAAGAUGAAAAGCACUUUGGAAAGAGAGUUAAACAGUACGUGAAAUUGUUGAAAGGGAAACGAUUGAAGUCAGUCGUGUUCAUUGGACUCAGCCGGUUUUCGGUGUAUUUCCUUUGAACGGGUCAACAUCAGUUUUGUCCGGUGGAUAAAGGCAGGAAGAAAGUGGCUCCCUCGGGAGUGUUAUAGCUUUCUGUCACAUACACUGGAGGAGACUGAGGACUGCAGCUCGCCUUUUGGCCGGGGUUCGCCCACGUUCGAGCUUAGGAUGUUGACAUAAU